rnacentral:rRNA from 1 species
GAUGAACGCUGGCGGCGUGCUUAACACAUGCAAGUCGAACGAGAAUCAACGGAUUGAGGAUUCGUCCAAAUGAAGUUGAGGAAAGUGGCGGACGGGUGAGUAACGCGUGAGGAACCUGCCUCGGAGUGGGGAAUAACAGUUGGAAACGACUGCUAAUACCGGAUAGGCAGAGAGGAGGCAUCUCUUCUCUGUUAAAGUUGGGAUACAACGCAAACAGAUGGAUCUGCGGUGCAUUAGCUAGUUGGUGAGGUAACGGCCCACCAAGGCGAUGAUGCAUAGCCGGCCUGAGAGGGCGAACGGCCACAUUGGGACUGAGACACGGCCCAA